GUGACCCCAGGUCAGGCGGGACCACCCGCUGAGUUUAAGCAUAUCAAUAAG
rnacentral:rRNA from 3 species